AUUGUUAAUGAUAAAAUGCUCUUAAAAUUUUAUAGGAUUCAGCUUAAACGCCACAGCCAAGUAAAAACAUGGACCAGGCGUGUUGAUAUAUUUUCCAAAGAUUAUAUAAUUAUUCCAGUUUAUCUGAAUUUCCAUUGGUUUUUGGCUGUCAUUUGUUUUCCUGGGCAAGUUCCUGAUGCUACUCCAAAUGUGCCUGCUAAGAGUGAUGCCAAACUUUCCAAGUCUGCAGGUAAUGUUACAUCUACUGAUGACCAAGAUGAUUCUGUUAGGACAGCUACUAAAGAUGAUGAAGGAAAUUCUCAAACACAAGGUAGAAAUUCAACAAAUAGUAGUACCCUUUAUGAAGGGAAAGAACCUCUUGAUUCAGAACCUAUUCCUGAGGCCUCAGAUAGCAGUACUCGUCCAGAUGGAAAUCAUGGUGGCCAACGCCUGAAAAUGCCUUGUAUAUGCAUUUUUGACUCAUUAAAUAUACCAAAUAGAUGGAAAAUUGCUGCUAUAUUGAGAGACUAUUUAAAUGUAGAAUGGACUUCAAAGAAAGGAAGUAGAAAAAUUUUUGACCGCCAUACUAUGAAUGAGUAUAUAAUGAGAUGUCCUCAGCAGACAAAUAUGCAUGACUGUGGAGUAUAUUUAUUGGAGAAUUUUGAAAAGUUCUUUCAGAUUUAUGAAGUGUACCAUUUUUCUCAAUUUACGGAUACUCUAUUUCAAUCUUAUAUCAACUUGUUUUUAAAAAUAAAAACAAGAAAGCAGCGGCUGGCCAGCCGAUUGUGUAAGCUCGACCGAACGAAAACGCUACAUUGAAGCCUAUUUUGAGCGAGAGGGUGUGCAGCUUGAUGAAUUUAAUAUUAAGAAGAAUCCUGGAAGACGGCAAGUAGCCAAAUUGGCUUUGAACAGCUUCUGGGGGCGAUGGGGAAUGAACCUGAACAAGAUACGUUUGACUUAUGUUCAUACAUUACCUGAUUUCAAUAAAUUAUUAGCAGAUCCAACAAAAAAUAUCAAAGACUUAUAUUUUCCGACUCCUGAAGUAGCUGCUGUGCAAUGGGACUAUAAACAUUAUUUUGUUCCACAGGACACAUCCACAAAUGUGUUCUUGGCAGCUUUUACUACUGCUUGGGCAAGAUUAAAGCUUUAUAGUGAAAUGGAGAAGUUGGGCCGUGCUGUGUUGUAUCAUGACACGGAUUCAAUUAUAUACGCAAGCGAUUCUACCAACGAUCCGCCUCUUGGUAAUUUUUUGGGGGAGUUUACAGAUGAACUCAAUGAAGAUACCAUUACUACAUUUGUCUCUGAUGAACUUCAUUUUAUUUUUAUUUUUUAUUAGGUUGAUCUUUUAUUUUUUUCUUGUAGUUUCUGUAGCAUAAUUUUUUCCCCAUUCAGGAGGACCUAAAAAUUACGCUUAUGUAACAGCACGAGGAAAGACUUGCUGUAAAGUUCGAGGUUUCUCCCUCAACUUCAAAAAUCAACAGAUUGUAAAUUUUUCGGAGAUUAAGAAUUUAGUGUGCUCGAUGGAUUGAAAAACAACAAUCGCCAUGUACGAUGAACAUAAAAUCACGAGAGAUGCCAAAAGGAGGAAAGUUUUAACUAAGGCAGAAACAAAACUGUACAAAA